ACGAACGCUGGCGGCGUGCCUAACACAUGCAAGUCGAGCGAGAAUCUUGAAUUUGAUUCCUUCGGGAUGAAGAUUUAAGAGGAAAGCGGCGGACGGGUGAGUAACGCGUGAGUAACCUGCCUUCAGGAGGGGGACAACAUUCCGAAAGGGAUGCUAAUACCGCAUGACAUUGUUUAAUCGCAUGGUUAAACAAUCAAAGAUUUAUCGCCUGAAGAUGGACUCGCGUCUGAUUAGCUAGUUGGUGGGGUAACGGCUCACCAAGGCGACGAUCAGUAGCCGAACUGAGAGGUUGAUCGGCCACAUUGGGACUGAGACACGGCCCAGACUCCUACGGGAGGCAGCAGUGGGGAAUAUUGGGCAAUGGGCGCAAGCCUGACCCAGCAACGCCGCGUGAAGGAAGAAGGUUUUCGGAUCGUAAACUUCUAUCCUUGGUGAAGAUAAUGACGGUAGCCGAGAAGGAAGCCCCGGCUAACUACGUG
rnacentral:rRNA from 1 species